UUGUUAAUUAAUUGUUGUUAUUAAAAAUAAUUUUAAAAUUUGAAUUUUUAGUAUAUUUUAAAGAAAAAAUAAUUUUAAUUAUAGUUUAUAGUAUUGUAAGAGAACAUUGAAAUAAUUUGAAAAAUUUUUAUGAUAAAAGAAUAUUUUAUUUAUAGUACCUUGUGUAUCAGGGUUUAUUAAUUAGUAAUUAAUUAUUUUAAUAUUCUCGAUUUUAAAAGAGUUAAUAAAUUAUUUAAAUUAAUGUGAAAAAAUUAUUUAAAAUAUUUAUUGGAAAUGAAAAGUUAUUCGUUUUUAAAGGUAUCUAGUUUUUAAAGAAAUAUAUUUAAUUUAGUUAUAUAAGUGCUUUGUUUUAUUUAAAAUAUUUCAUUAAUUAUAAUUAAUAAUAUAUGGGAUAAGCUAUAUAUUAAAUUUUUAAAAUUACUAAAUUUUUAUAAAAAAUAUAUGCUUAGAAUUAGCAAUUAUUUAUAAAUUUGUUAUAAAUUAUUUUAUAAUAAAAUUAUUUAGUUUGUAUUUAAUUAUUUAUUUAAAUAAUAAUUUUAAUUAAUAAAAUUAUUUAAUAAUGAUAAAAUUAGUAUAAAUUGUUUGUGUAAAUAAAUUUAUUUGUUAGAUUAGUUUAAAGAACUCGGCAAAUUUAUUAAUGUUCGCCUGUUUAACAAAAACAUGUCCUUUUGUAUUUUAUUUAAGGUCUAACCUGCCCACUGAGUAAUUGAAUGGCCGCAGUAUAUUAACUGUGCAAAGGUAGCAUAAUCAUUAGUCUUUUAAUUGAAGGCUUGUAUGAAUGGUUGGACGAGACAUUAACUGUUUCAAAUUAAUUUUUAGAAUUUUAUUUUUCAGUCAAAAAGCUGAAAUGUAAUUAAAAGACGAGAAGACCCUAUAGAUCUUGAUAAUUAAUUAGUUAAAUUUAUUUAGGAAAUUUAAAAUUUAAUUAAGUAAAUUAUUUUAUUGGGGUGAUAAUAAGAUUUAAUAAACUCUUAUAUUUUAAAUACAUAAAUUAAUGAAUUAUUGAUCCAUUAAUAGUGAUUAUUAGAUUAAGUUACCUUAGGGAUAACAGCGUAAUUUUUUUAGAGAGUUCAUAUCGAUAAAAAAGAUUGCGACCUCGAUGUUGGAUUAAAAUAUAUUUCUGGGUGUAGCAGUUCAGAAUAAUAAGUCUGUUCGACUUUUAAAUUUUUACAUGAUCUGAGUUCAAACCGGCGUGAGCCAGGUUGGUUUCUAUCUUUAAUUUAUUAAAAUAUUUUAGUACGAAAGGACCAAGUAUUUGAAAAAUUUUUUUUGAAAUUGAAUAUUAUUACUACUUUGGCAGAUUAGUGCAAUAAAUUUAGAAUUUAUAUAUGUAAUUGAUAAUUACAG
rnacentral:rRNA from 1 species